rnacentral:rRNA from 1 species
UACGGAGGGUGCAAGCGUUAUCCGGAUUCACUGGGUUUAAAGGGUGCGUAGGUGGCUUUGUAAGUCAGUGGUGAAAUACCGCAGCUCAACUGCGGAACUGCCAUUGAUACUGCUUAGCUUGAAUCAGGUCGAGGUGGAUGGAAUAUUACAUGUAGCGGUGAAAUGCUUAGAUAUGUAAUAGAACACCGAUUGCGAAGGCAGUUCACUAGGCCUGAAUUGACACUGAGGCACGAAAGCGUGGGGAGCAAACAGG